rnacentral:misc_RNA from 1 species
CUAUGUUUGGAUGGUCGAGGUUAUGUUGUGUACACUAAAGUAGAUUCCUUACGGAUGGUUUGUACAGAAAAUUAUUAUAUUUUGGAUUUUAAGUAAUUAUUGUUCUUAAUUGGUUUUUGCUUAAAUAUUUAUCAUUAUUUCUAUUUUGUGGACAAUGUCUUUUAAAGGUAGGCUAGUAAAAAACAAGUGGUUCAUUGUAAAUAUAAUAAUAAUUAUUCAGCGGGGACUUCUAGUAACACUGAAAAAUUAGCUUACAAUGAAGAAGUCGUAAUCCUAUAUAUAUGUGAAAAAUGUGGGCAAGGUUUUCAAAAUAAGGCAUCUUUUAGAUCACAUAAUAAACGAAAACAUACUAGUUCUAAUCAUGUAUGCAGUAUGUGUAAAAAAAUAUUUACCAGAAGAAAUUAUUUGGAAAAACAUCAAAAAAAUUGUCAGAAUAUAAAAAAGAAUAAGCUUUGUUCUCUUUGUGAUUUCCGUGCAUCAAGUAGUGCAGAAGUUCUUA